UGGACAUCUAGGAAUAUUCAAAACCAGGAAUGCGCUGACAUCAAAAUACUAUUGGCCAGGGAUGACAAAAGACAUUGCCAAUUGGGUUGCACAGUGUCUGACUUGCCAGAAAGAGGGAAAGCAAUCAAAUCUGGAUACCACCUUGAAAAGCAUAGAGGUCACUCGGAUCUGGGAAUUGGUGGGAAUGGAUUUAAUAG